rnacentral:rRNA from 1 species
UACGGAGGAUCCAAGCGUUAUCCGGAUUUAUUGGGUUUAAAGGGUGCGUAGGCGGCCUGUUAAGUCAGGGGUGAAAGACGGUAGCUUAACUAUCGCAGUGCCCUUGAUACUGAUGGGCUUGAAUAUACUUGAGGUAGGCGGAAUGUGACAAGUAGCGGUGAAAUGCAUAGAUAUGUCACAGAACACCAAUUGCGAAGGCAGCUUACUAAGGUAUGAUUGACGCUGAGGCACGAAAGCGUGGGGAGCAAACAGG